UACGGAGGGUGCAAGCGUUGUCCGGAAUCACUGGGUUUAAAGGGUGCGUAGGCGGUCCGAUAAGUCAGCUGUGAAAUCGCUGGGCUUAACCCAUGCAAUUGCGGUUGAUACUGUCGGACUUGAAUGGGGUUGAGGCUAGCGGAAUGCGGCAUGUAGCGGUGAAAUGCUUAGAUAUGCCGCAGAACACCGAUUGCGAAGGCAGCUAGCUGGGCCUUGAUUGACGCUGAGGCACGAAAGCGUGGGGA
rnacentral:rRNA from 1 species